GGAAGGAAGAGUAGAAAUCAGAUACUCUGAAAUGAUUGUAGGGAAGCUUGAUGAGAUUACACCUCAAAACUUAAUUGGACUAUGCUAAGAUAAAGCCGAAGAGUCCUAA